rnacentral:lncRNA from 1 species
AGCCUCAAGUGCAGCAGCAAUAGAAGCAUCAUGACGACCAGCCAUUUCAAAGUUCUUCAUAAGAAACAACCAUUCAGAACAACAACAAAGACAACAUUAGAGUUGACACUCUAUCCUAGGUGGCUCAACACGACUCUACUACUUGGCCGGACGGACCAACCUGCUAUGAUACCAAUUGUAACACCCCGUUAUCCUAAAGCAAUUAAUUAAUAAAUAAUUCAU